rnacentral:rRNA from 1 species
GACAGAGGAUGCAAGCGUUAUCCGGAAUGAUUGGGCGUAAAGCGUCUGUAGGUGGCUUUUUAAGUCCGCCGUCAAAUCCCAGGGCUCAACCCUGGACAGGCGGUGGAAACUACCAAGCUGGAGUACGGUAGGGCAGAGGAAUUUCCGGUGGAGCGGUGAAAGUGCGUAGAGAUCGGAAGAACACCAACGGCGAAAGCACUCUCGCUGGGCCGACACUGACACUGAGAGACGAAAGCUAGGGGAGCGAAUGGG